AGCAGCCGCGGUAAUUCCAGCUCCAAUAGCGUAUAUUAAAGUUGUUGCAGUUAAAAAGCUCGUAGUUGAAUUUCGGGAUUGACACAUCGGUCGUGCCUUAAGGGGUAUGAACUGGUGUAGUCAAUUUCUCACCUUCUGGAGAACCGCGAUGCCCUUAAUUGGGUGUCGCGGGGAACCAGGACCUUUACUUUGAAAAAUUAGAGUGUUUAAAGCAGGCAUUUUGCUUGAAUACAUUAGCAUGGAAUAAUAAAAUAGGACGGCAUGAUUCUAUUUUGUUGGUUUCUAGGAUCACCGUAAUGAUUAAUAGGGAUAGUUGGGGGCAUUAGUAUUCAAUUGUCAGAGGUGAAAUUCUUGGAUUUAUUGAAGACUAACUACUGCGAAAGCAUUUGCCAAGGAUGUUUUCAUUAAUCAAGAACGAAAGUUAGGGGAUCGAAGACGAUCAGAUACCGUCGUAGUCUUAACCAUAAACUAUGCCGACUAGGAAUC
rnacentral:rRNA from 1 species